UUAAUUUCAAAUCAAACAAGUUGAAGCUAACUCCCUAAAUUUAUAAAGAUCAAGGGGGACAACUUGACAAGUUUUUGUACUUCUUACUAUUUCCUUUGAGCAUGUAAACUGUACUGAACCAAAACAUGUAUUGAAUUUUUUCCUUUAUUUAGUUUUUUUUAAAUGUACUGUAUUUCAUGUUGUGUUUAUAUGUUCAAUAUAUAAAUCAAUUCUGACUGAAUACAAUGCAAACUCUCUCUCUCUUAAGUUCGAAAUGCCACAAAGAGUCAGCCCUCUUCAGGAAGCCAUUUGUCACAUUUCAUUCAGGACCGACAAAACAGGCAAAUUGUGUGUGAGGUACAUAAAUGCAGUCAAAGGAUGUGGAAUAUUUAUUUGCAAAGAGUACAAUCGGCAGCGGACAAU